UAGUAGCAAAUACUCCAGCGAGGCCCUGGAGGACUGACGUGGAGAAGGGUUUCGUGUGAACAGCCGUUGCACACGAGUCAGUCGAUCCUAAGCCCUAGGAGAAAUCCGAUGUUAAUGCAGUUGUGUCUUUAUUAUACGAUGACAUUUAGUGUGAGAGUUUAAAACAGUUGACGUUUAUACUUGGAUACGGAACCAAAUGAUGCUGACUGAUAUAUCAAUACUGUCGCUAUCCCAAAUUUGAACCGUUCAGAAGUAGAAGCAGUCGGUGGACUCUUUCUUACUUGGUUCAAUGUCUGGUGAGCGAUUUACAUGAUAGUUGAUGCAACACAUUUUUUUACUGUUGAAAAGUGUCUUCUGUCUCUAUCCGCUAAUAAAUCGUUAGAGAAGUAUCACACUCAUUGGGCGAAAGGGAAUCCGGUUCCUAUUCCGGAACCCGGCAGCGGAACCGUUUACAAGUCGGGCCCUCGUAAGAGAGUUCGUCGGGGCAACCCAACAGGACCUGGAGACGCCGUCGGGAGAUCCGGGAAGAGUUUU
rnacentral:rRNA from 1 species